rnacentral:rRNA from 1 species
AGCGAACGCUGGCGGCAGGCCUAACACAUGCAAGUCGAACGAACCUUUCGGGGUUAGUGGCGGACGGGUGAGUAACACGUGGGAACGUGCCUUUAGGUUCGGAAUAACUCAGGGAAACUUGUGCUAAUACCGAAUGUGCCCUUCGGGGGAAAGAUUAAUCGCCUUUAGAGCGGCCCGCGUCUGAUUAGCUAGUUGGUUGAGGUAAUGGCUCACCAAGGCGACGAUCAGUAGCUGGUCUGAGAGGAUGAUCAGCCACAUUGGGACUGAGACACGGCCCAAAAGACGACGGGAGGCAGGAGGGGGGAUUCGGACGCAAGGGCAGACGGCGGGACGGAGGAAGGGUGGAGGAAUGAUGAAGGACGUAGGGUUGUAAAAUUCGUUCGCGGGGGAAAGUAAUGAGGGUAGACGGAGAAGAGGCCCCGGAUAACGUCGUGCCAGAGGCCGAGAGAAGAAGAGAAGAGUACACGUAGGAGC